UCUUAUAUAUUAUAUAAUUCUUUUUUUUUUCACGAGACAGAAAUGUAAAUCAGGGUAGUGUAGAAAAAUAUGACGUUGUGGCGCCCCCUAACGGUAGCAGCUGAAAGAAGAAGACUUUUAUAUUUAUUUUUUUCACUCAAAUCUUUGUGUGAUGUUACUUUAUCUAUCUGUGUGAUUAUUUUACACUUUUUGGGUGUAUUUUUAUGAAUGUGAGAACACAUGGUGAUAAGUCUACCACACAUUUAUUUUUAUAGAGAACAAUAAGUGAAAUAUCACCACAGAGGCUGCUGAUUUGUUCUGUGUUCAUCAGAAGAAACAUUAAAUACUUCCAGUGAACUGCAGUCUGCUGUCCCGUGUACCGGUGGACAGCAAGAGGUCCAACCUGGAGGACAGAGUGAUGGAGUUGGAGGAACGGCUCAGUGAGACACACAGAGAGUGUGUGAUCAACACCAAGCAGUGUUUUAGGAGUGUGAGCAGGAGUGAGAGACUCACAGUGUCCUGAAGUACCAGUACAAUCAUCUGAGGGAAACUGUAACCUACAGCAAGGAGUCACUACAGGUAUCAAGUGUUUCAAUGUGUGUGUAGAUGUCAAUAAAACCAACAAGCUUUUUCUUGUAAAACUUCCAUGUCUUCUGGAUGAAGCUGAGAAGAAACACGAGCAGGUGCUGGAGUCCAGUGUUCAGCUACAGAAAGAGAUCUACAAACUGGUAUCAGACAUGGACUUACUGUAGCCUCAGCUGAGCUGAAAGAGGAAGAGCUUCUUCAGACUAACAGGAAGUGCAGCAGGUUAAUGGCAGAGUGGAAACAGUACCAGGAUGUUUACUGUACCAUGAAGGUGAAGUACGACGGAAUGAAAGAAUCCGUGAAACAUUUGUAGAUUUUCAUCACAGACUUGUACAGAGCAUGUAGCGCCAUCACUUGGCCUGAAAAGCAGCUCAGUGGUCACGUGGUCGGUUAUGGCGCUCAAUAAGUUCCUGAUGUGGUUUCUGUUUGUAUUUUUUUCCUCAUUUCAUUAAUUUUUUCUUUGCAUGUGAAUGUGAAUGAAAAUAAAUCUCUUGUUACUGUGUGAUGUAAUAUUUUUGCUGGAAAUUGCAAUAAUAAAGUACUUAAAAUGUA